rnacentral:rRNA from 1 species
CCUACGGGUGGCAGCAGUGAGGAAUAUUGGUCAAUGGGCGCAAGCCUGAACCAGCCAAGUCGCGUGAGGGAAGACGGCCCUACGGGUUGUAAACCCUUUUUGCCGGGGAGCAAGCCUGAGCACGUGUGCCCAGGCGGAGAGUACCCGGAGAAAAAGCAUCGGCUAACUCCGUGCCAGGAGCCGCGGUAAUACGGGGGAUGCGAGCGUUAUCCGGAUUUAUUGGGGUAAAGGGGUUCGCAGGCGGGCUGUUAAGCCGGCGGUAAAAAUUCAGGGCUCAACCCUGUCGAGCCGUCGGAACUGGCAGCCUUGAGUGGGCGAGAGGUAUGCGGAAUGCGUGGUGUAGCGGUGAAAUGCAUAGAUAUCACGCAGAACGCCGAUUGCGAAGGCAGCAUACCGGCGCCCGACUGACGCUGAGGCACGAAAGCGUGGGGAUCGAACAGGAUUAGAUACCCGUGUAGUC